rnacentral:rRNA from 1 species
CCUACGGGAGGCAGCAGUGGGGAAUAUUGCGCAAUGGGCGAAAGCCUGACGCAGCGACGCCGCGUGAGGGAUGAAGGUCUUCGGAUCGUAAACCUCUGUCAGCAGGGAAGAACGGUCACUGUGCUAAUCAGCAGUGAAUUGACGGUACCUGCAAAGGAAGCACCGGCUAACUCCGUGCCAGCAGCCGCGGUAAUACGGAGGGUGCGAGCGUUAAUCGGAAUUACUGGGCGUAAAGCGCUCGUAGGCGGUAUGUCAAGUCAAGGGUGAAAUCCCCGCGCUCAACGUGGGAACUGCCUUUGAAACUGGCAAACUGGAGUGUGGGAGAGGAGAGUGGAAUUCCAGGUGUAGGAGUGAAAUCCGUAGAUAUCGGGAGGAACAUCAGUGGCGAAGGCGACUAUCUGGAACAUAACUGACGCUGAGGAGCGAAAGCGUGGGUAGCAAACAGGAUUAGAUACCCUGGUAGUC